AGUGAACGCUGGCGGUAGGCCUAACACAUGCAAGUCGAACGGCAGCACAGUAAGAGCUUGCUCUUACGGGUGGCGAGUGGCGGACGGGUGAGGAAUACAUCGGAAUCUACUUUUUCGUGGGGGAUAACGUAGGGAAACUUACGCUAAUACCGCAUACGACCUACGGGUGAAAGCAGGGGAUCUUCGGACCUUGCGCGAUUGAAUGAGCCGAUGUCGGAUUAGCUAGUUGGCGGGGUAAAGGCCCACCAAGGCGACGAUCCGUAGCUGGUCUGAGAGGAUGAUCAGACACACUGGAACUGAGACACGGUCCAGACUCCUACGGGAGGCAGCAGUGGGGAAUAUUGGACAAUGGGCGCAAGCCUGAUCCAGCCAUACCGCGUGGGUGAAGAAGGCAUUCGGGUUGUAAAGCCCUUUUGUUGGGAAAGAAAAGCAGCAGGUUAAUACCCCGCUGUUCUGACGGUACCCAAAGAAUAAGCACCGGCUAACUUCGUG
rnacentral:rRNA from 1 species